GACGAACGCUGGCGGCGUGCCUAAUACAUGCAAGUCGAGCGAACAGAUGAGAAGCUUGCUUCUCUGAUGUUAGCGGCGGACGGGUGAGUAACACGUGGGUAACCUACCUAUAAGACUGGGAUAACUCCGGGAAACCGGGGCUAAUACCGGAUAAUAUAUUGAACCGCAUGGUUCAAUGUUGAAAGACGGAUUCGGCUGCCACUUAUAGAUGGACCCGCGCCGUAUUAGCUAGUUGGUAAGGUAACGGCUUACCAAGGCGACGAUACGUAGCCGACCUGAGAGGGCGAUCGGCCACACUGGAACUGAGACACGGUCCAGACUCCUACGGGAGGCAGCAGUAGGGAAUCUUCCGCAAUGGGCGAAAGCCUGACGGAGCAACGCCGCGUGAGUGAUGAAGGUCUUCGGAUCGUAAAACUCUGUUGUUAGGGAAGAACAAAUUUGUUAGUAACUGAACAAGUCUUGACGGUACCUAACCAGAAAGCCACGGCUAACUACGUGCCAGCAGCCGCGGUAA
rnacentral:rRNA from 1 species